AUGGCACCCUACAGGCUUGCAGCAUUUGGGUUCCGAGGUGCUCUCAAGUUACAUCACAAGUAUUAUGGCCCCUUCAUGAUCACACAGAGAAUUGGCAAGGUAGCAUACAAACUCCAAUUCCCAGAGCAUAUCAAGAUACAUCCUGUGUUUCAUGUCAGCCAGCUGAAACAACAUUUGGAGCUUAAAUCCAUACCCAGCCCAAAUCUUCCAGUGGUUAACCAGGACGUCACUUUGAGAGCCGCACCACUUCUUGUGCUUCAAGUCAGACAGAUCCCUAGAAAGAACAUACCAGUGGUACAGUGGCUCGUGCAGUGGGAAAAUUUAGCUCCUGAAGACUCCACUUGGGAAGAUGCAGACUACAUCAAGCACACGUUUCCGGAGUUUUUCAAACAAACCACCACAGCUUGGCGGACCAGUUCUUCCACAACAACCUGA
rnacentral:rRNA from 1 species